CUUUCUAUCUCCCCCACUCCCAUAACACUCUCUCUGGCCUUGCCGCCUGUUCUUCGUAGCCCCUCUCUCGCGCCAUAUGUUCUUCCGGUAGCCUUUCUCAGUAUCUCUUUUCUCCUCCCUCAUGCAGUGGAUGCCUGGACGGAAUCAUUCUUGAUCUUGUCAUCUCUGCUCGUCUCUACAUCUCUGCAUUCUCCAGAUUCCCCUCCAGGGAGACUUCUAUAAUUAUUCGGGAUGCGGUAACACAUUCAAUUGCAACCAUCAUGUUGUGCGCCAGUUUAUUGUAGACUGCUUGAGGUAGAAUUUCCUGAGUGUUCAUUCUCAAUUUUAUCAGAUGGAAUUUCUUAUCAUUUGAAAUAUGCAUUGGUGAAUUUGAUGUAGAACCUAUUUAUAGCUCCCUGAGAUAAUCUGCAUUGCAUAAUUACAUUGUGAGCUCUGAGAUCUAAAGUUGUGUAAUAGUCAUGUAAUAGUGUCAUUCCAUAACCCAAGUGUGCUUCUGAAUCAUGUCAUUGUCUCUAUAUGAUAAUCUCCCUCUGUAAUUAAUAAUUAUUAUGGAAGGAACUAGCAAAUUGUUGUUCUUAUAAGCUCAGUUAUUCCAUGUUUCUGAAAGAGAAAAAAUUUGUUCAUAGUUGAAAACUCAUAUGCUAGUUCGCUAUAUAUUCCUUUUA